AAAAAGGCAAACCAUGGGUUCCCAUGCCAACGUUUGACUGUCCGUCUUAUAUGAAAUUUUUUUAUAAUUAGUAUUUUAAUUGUUGUUAGAUGAUAAAACAUGAUUAAUACUUUAUGCGUGACUUAUCUUUUUAAUUUUUUUCAUAAUUUUUUCAAAUAAGACGAACGGUCAAACGUUGGACACGGAAACCAGGGUUUGUCUUUUU
rfam:Oryza sativa (indica cultivar-group) chromosome 9, whole genome shotgun sequence.